rnacentral:rRNA from 1 species
AUGCAGCUUGACUUGGUUAGCAUCGACCGAACUAACGAGACAGCAAGCAAUGCUCCUCCGGCAAGGAGAAAAAAAGAGAGUAGAGCUAGCCACUUGGUUCGUGGGCAAAGCUGCAAGUCCGUCAACAACUACUGCUGCCGUUUUUACAUCGAAUCAACUCAAGUAGUGGGAGUAGUAAAGCUGACACGAUAUGCUCGCUUGCUUGCCUGUAAGAGAAUCCAUCCAGCCGCAGCAGAAACAGUCGUGGACAGAGCAGCCUUCGCAGAUCAAAGAGUGAACAAUGAACCACUCCACCGGUUCCGGUGCCGUGCUGAACAAAGAUAUACCGGCCGGGCAAUGGCAGCGGCAUCGGCACCACCGCACGACCAUCGAGCUGGAGAAUGGGGCCCACGCGUCGAUCAUGUGUAG